rnacentral:lncRNA from 1 species
UUCUCUUGGCCGGCCAAAGGAAGAAAAGGGAAGAAAAGAAGAAGAACAAAAACCUAGCUAAGAAAUUCAAGAGAAAUUCACAAAAUUUCAAAGAAUCAAGUGACAAAAGGUAAGAUUUUUCAAUUCUAGCUUGUGAUUUACCUUUCCUAUGCAUUCUUUUUCAUUUUCCAUGGUUGAGAAUCAAGUUUGCAUGAGGAUACCCUUUCUGGCCGGACAUGGGGGGAGGAGUUUUGAAAUUGGAUUUGGUUAGAUUUCAAUGUAUUUUAGUGUUUUUAGUUAGUUAGUGAUGUGUAGCAUGAAAAUCAAGCAAGAAAAAUUCACUUCCUCCCAUCACCCAUCAUUGGCCGAAUUCUCCAUGUAGAAUAUUGAUGCUGAUUUUAAUUUUAUUUCAAGUGAUUUGGUUAGGAAUUAGUGAUUUAUGGUGUAAGAAUCAAGCUUGAAAAAUUAUAGUGUUGAUGCACCCACCAUGGCCGAAUUUUCCAAGAGAAAAUGUGAGGAUGAUUUUUUCAUAUUUCAAGUUAUUUAAUUUGUGUUUGAUGAUUUGGAGUAUUGGGAGAAAAAUCGAAUUAUUUGGAGUUCAAUUGGACGCAUUGGCAAAUUAAUCAGGAGAUAGAUCGAAUUAGGCCAAUACCAUUUUAUUUAGGUACAUAAUUGAAUUUAUAUUGAGCACCGUAUAUAGAUAGUUACCCGAGUAUUUCACAUCCCAUUUCAUGCAUUAGUAUAGAGCCUGAAUUGGUUUUAUUACAAUUUAGCACAAAUGUAGUAAAUGGCUUAUUGUGCAUUAUGUCUAGGUGGUGAGCAUUCUGGCAAAAGUAAAGAGAUAGUACCCGAGGAUCAAGAAUCGGAGUACUCGAAAUUCAACUCCCGAAAUAGUGAGUAACCUUACUAUCAUCUUAAUUAUCUAAAGUGGUUUUUAUCCAAUUUUGUGAAUUUUAUGGAAAGUGAAUUAAAUGAUUAAUUUUUUGGUUUUAUAAACAAAAUGUGAUUUAAUGAAAUGAUUUCAUAAAAUUGUUUUAAAAUUGAAUGAUGGUUUGAAAAUAGAGUAAUUGGAGACUGUUUUUGUGUGUUGUAAAUUCAUGAUUCUAAUCGAAUGGCUCAUGAAAAUUUUUGCAUGAAUGGCUGAAUUGGUAUUUGUGUUGAAAUAUAUAAACUGUGUAUUUAGCCUUGAGAGGCUAGAUUGUGAUAUAAUUGCCAUGUCAUGCGGUUGAGAUUUUAUUGUAUGGUGGGUUUAGAUUGCUGCAGUGGGUGGGUUCUGUGGACCAACCUUUUUGAGGGGCACGGUAACCCCGUUAUAUUCUUAUCUUAGUCGGAAAGGCGUGUAGGGUAACUCCCAAGGUACAACUUUAGAGUUCACUUCACGCCAAAGCACCACGUGAGGGUGAACUCAGCCAACGCCAAGGAACGACUAUGUUUUCAAAAUAAAAACAUGAUUUAUGCGUAUAAGAUUUUUUUUUAACAGCCUUAGCGGACUCGGUUGGGAUACCCCAGGCCAAGGUAUCCCUGAUAACUGAGUAUGAGAAUGAUUUUGGCAUGAGCCAAAGUUUUAAGAAAUUCAUAAGCCUUGUUGAUUACUCGAUUUAUAUGAACUGAUUUUAUUUGGUUGAAAUGAGUUGAAAGGUGAUGAAUUACAGUAUGAUGAUCUAUUUUAAUUGUCUCCAUUUACUCAACUUUUGAUAUUUUAGAUGGUAUAUGUUUACUAACUGGGAUUAUAUAAUCUCAUCACCCUCCUUUCCACUCAUUUCAGGUUUAGGAUAGUCGGUAGAUAGCUCAUUUCAUUGAGGGCUACAAUUGGACUUGCAUCCUCAAAAACUCUAGGUUUAUCGCUUUUGAUAUUUUUGGUUGUUCGUGGGCCCACAUGUCACUGUAAAUUAAAUCUUAUGCUUUGGUUAUCUGUAUUACAGUAUGUAUGAAUUUAUUUAGCUUUUACGCUACAAAAAUUAUUUACCGGUAACUCUAUAAAUAUUAUUUUAUAAGAAAAUAGAAUAUUUUAUUGAAUAUUUUUA